rnacentral:rRNA from 1 species
UGGGGAAUAUUGCACAAUGGAGGGAACUCUGAUGCAGCGACGCCGCGUGAACGAAGAAUGCUUUCGAGUCGUAAAGUUCUUUUAUAUGGGAAGAUAAUGACGGUACCAUAAGAAAAAGCCCCGGCUAACUACGUGCCAGCAGCCGCGGUAAUACGUAAGGGGCUAGCGUUGUCCGGAAUCACUGGGCGUAAAGGGUUCGCAGGCGGAAAGGCAAGUCAGGUGUAAAAGGCAGUAGCUUAACUACUGUAAGCAUUUGAAACUGCAUAUCGUGAGAAGAGUAGAGGUAAGGGGAAUUUUUAGUGUAGCGGUGAAAUGCGUAGAUAAUAAAAAGAAUACCGGUGGCGAAGGCGACUUACUGGGCUCAUUCUGACGCUGAGGAACGAAAGCGUGGGUAGCAAACAGG